rnacentral:rRNA from 1 species
CGUAAACAAAGGGAAGCGACCACGUGAGUGUAAGCGAAUCCCAAAAAUAACGUCCCAGUUCGGAUUGUAGUCUGCAACCCGACUACAUGAAGCUGGAAUCGCUAGUAAUCGCGGAUCAGAAUGCCGCGGUGAAUACGUUCCCGGGUCUUGUACACACCGCCCGUCACACCAUGGGAGUCGGAAAUGCCCGAAGCCGGUGACUCAACCUUUAAGGAGAGAGCCGUCGAAGGCAGGUCUGAUAACUGGGGUGAAGUCGUAACAAGGUAUC